rnacentral:miRNA from 1 species
CACUGAGCCUGGUUGAUGGUC